GACGAACGCUGGCGGCGCGCUUAACACAUGCAAGUCGAGCGAAGCGGCGGACGGGUGGAUAACACGUGAGUAACCUGGCUUAGACAUUGGGAUAGCCUCGGGAAACCGGGAUUAAUACCAAAUGGUCUAAGAUGGACUCGCGUCCCAUUAGAUGGUUGGUGAGGGAACGGCCCACCAAGGCGACGAUGGGUAGCCGGCCAGUGAGGGUGAACGGCCACUUUGGAACUGAGAAACGGUCCAAACUCGACGGGAGGCAGCAGUGGGGAAUAUUGCAAAAUGGAGGGAACUCUGAUGCAGCGACGCCGCGUGAACGAAGAAGGCUUUCGAGUCGUAAAGUUCUUUUAUAUGGGAAGCGGUACCAUAAGAAAAAGCCCCGGCUAACUACGUGCCAGCAGCCGCGGUAAUUC
rnacentral:rRNA from 1 species